rnacentral:rRNA from 1 species
CCUACGGGUGGCUGCAGUGGGGAAUAUUGCACAAUGGGCGAAACCCUGAUGCAGCGACGCCGCGUGAGUGAAGAAGUAUUUCGGUAUGUAAAGCUCUAUCAGCAGGGAAGAUAAUUACGGUACCUGAGUAAUAAGCCCCGGCUAACUACGUGCCAGCAGCCGCGGUCAUACGUAGGGGGCAAGCGUUAUCCGGAUUUACUGGGUGUAAAGGGGGCGUAGAGGGAAGGGCAAGUUUGCAGUGAAAGCCCGGGGCUUAACCGCGGGACUGCUUUGGAAACUGUUAAGCUGGAGUGCCGGAGAGGUAAGUGGAAUUCCUAGUGUAGCGGUGAAAUGCGUAGAUAUUAGGAGGAACACCAGUGGCGAAGGCAGCUUACUGGACUGUAACUGACGUUGAGGCUCGAAAGCGUGGGGAGCAAACAGGAUUAGAUACCCCUGUAGUC